UCUUUCCUCUUUCAAUCAGGUUUGGCAAUAGAGAAGAAAGGAUCCAUGUAUAUUAUGCACAUGCCAAGAUAACCCAACCUUCGUCCGCAGAUGUUUAUUGGUGCUUGAUAAGUAUGUUUUGCUUGACUUUAGGUUCCCAAUUCCAAAUAUCGUGCAUGUCUUUAUUUGUGACUGAGUUAGUAAACAGGGGUUAUGAUUUCUUUCAUUUUUUUUAUAAAAAUAGAAUAAAAAUAACUUUUGCUAUGAGUUACAAUUGGAAUGGUUUUGUUUUCAGUGAAUUUGGAGGCACAUAGUACUCUUGUUCAUUAUCGUGAAAACACGAGAGAUACAAUUGCAAAAGUUCUCCUGUUACACCUGUAAAUUCAAAUUCAAGUUCUGUCUCUGACCCUGCGACAUCUUGGGUUCUAGCAGAAGACUUAGAUUCUGGGGCGAAAAGUGCUUUCAGUGCUGAGCUUAAUGACAAUUUAACAGUAAAGUUAUGAAGAGAAGCUUCUGAGAUUCAACACUUGAUGGAUGACCUAGUUGUUUCAAAUGCAACACUUCGACUACUCUAAGGAGGUAAUAUUUGUGUUUUAACAGAACCGA